GCCAGGUGAGGUGGUGCAUGCCUGUAAUCCCAGCAGCUCAGGAGGCUGAGGCAGGAGGAUUGCAAGUUCGAGGUUAACCUCAGCAAUUUAGUGGCCUUAAGCAACUUAGUGAGACCCUGUCUCAA
rnacentral:sRNA from 1 species